CGAACUGGCUGGCACGGGGGCUGCGGCGCAGCAACUCGGGCCUGCUGGGGGUGAGCUUCGCGAUCUCGCAUCCGUUCCACGCCGACCUGGUGCGGC
rnacentral:tRNA from 1 species